GUGAGGAAUUUUCCGCAAUGGGCGAAAGCCUGACGGAGCAAUGCCGCGUGAAGGAGGAAGGCCUAUGGGUUGUAAACUUCUUUUCUUAGAGAAGAAUAUUGACGGUAUCUGAGGAAUAAGCAUCGGCUAACUCUGUGCCAGCAGCCGCGGUAAGACAGAGGAUGCAAGCGUUAUCCGGAAUGAUUGGGCGUAAAGCGUCUGUAGGUGGCUUCAAAAGUCUCCUGUCAAAGAUCAGGGCUUAACCCUGGGGCGGCAGGAGAAACUGUGAGGCUAGAGUUUUGUAGGGGCAGAGGGAAUUGCCGGGGGAGCGGUGAGAUGCGGAGAGAUCGGGAGGAACACCAAAGGCGAAAGCAAGCUGCUGGGCGACAACUGUAAGUGAGAGACGAAAGCGAGGGGAGCGAAAGGGAUUAGAUACCCCGGUAGUCC
rnacentral:rRNA from 1 species